rnacentral:rRNA from 1 species
AUUGAACGCUGGCGGCAGGCCUAACACAUGCAAGUCGAGCGAGCGGCGGACGGGUGAGUAAUGUAUGGGGACUGCCCGAUAGAGGGGGAUAACUACUGGAAACGGUAGCUAAUACCGCAUACGAUCGGAUAACCCAUAUGGGAUUAGCUAGUAGGUGAGGUAAUGGCUCACCUAGGCGACGAUCCCUAGCUGGUCUGAGAGGAUGAUCAGCCACACUGGGACUGAGACACGGCCCAGCCUCCUCCGGAGGCAGCAGUGGGUAAUAUUGCACAAUGGGCGCAAGCCUGAUGCAGCCAUGCCGCGUGUAUGAAGAAGUCCCUAGGUUUGUAAAGUACUUUCAGUCGGGAGGCGGUACCGACAGAAGAAGCACCGGCUAACUCCGUGCCAGCAGCCGCGGUAAUAC